rnacentral:rRNA from 1 species
GACGAACCGUGCGAACGUUGUUCGGAAUCACUGGGCUUAAAGGGCGCGUAGGCGGUUGACCAAGUCUGGGGUGAAAUCUUUCGGCUUAACCGGAAAAGUGCCUUGGAAACUGGUCAGCUGGAGGGAGGUAGGGGCAGCUGGAACUUCCGGUGGAGCGGUGAAAUGCGUUGAUAUCGGAAGGAACGCCGGUGGCGAAAGCGAGCUGCUGGACCUUUUCUGACGCUGAUGCGCGAAAGCUAGGGGAGCAAACGGGG